GACGAACGCUGGCGGCGUGCCUAAUACAUGCAAGUAGAACGCUGAAGGAGGAGCUUACUUCUCUGGAUGAGUUGCGAACGGGUGAGUAACGCGUAGGUAACCUGCCUGGUAGCGGGGGAUAACUAUUGGAAACGAUAGCUAAUACCGCAUAAGAGUAGAUGCUGCAUGACAUUUACUUAAAAGGUGCAAUUGCACCACUACCAGAUGGACCCGCGUUGUAUUAGCUAGUUGGUGGGGUAACGGCUUACCAAGGCGACGAUACAUAGCCGACCUGAGAGGGUGAUCGGCCACACUGGGACUGAGACACGGCCCAGACUCCUACGGGAGGCAGCAGUAGGAAAUCUUCGGCAAUGGACGGAAGUCUGACCGAGCAACGCCGCGUGAGUGAAGAAGGUUUUCGGAUCGUAAAGCUCUGUUGUAAGAGAAGAACGAGUGUGAGAGUGGAAAGUUCACACUGUGACGGUAUCUUACCAGAAAGGGACGGCUAACUACGUGCCAGCAGCCGCCGUAA
rnacentral:rRNA from 1 species